UACGAAGGGGGCUAGCGUUGUUCGGCAUUACGGGGCGUAAAGCGCACGUCGGCGGACUCUUAAGUCAGGGGUGAAAUCCCGGGGCUCAACCUCGGAACUGCCUUUGAUACUGUGAGUCUCGAGACCGGAAGAGGUGAGUGGAAUUCCUAGUGUAGAGGUGAAAUUCGUCGAUAUUAGGAAGAACACCAGUGGCGAAGGCGGCUCACUGGUCCGGUUCUGACGCUGACGUGCCAAGGCGUGGGGAGCAACCAGU
rnacentral:rRNA from 1 species